AGGCCUAAGGGCUACUAAACCCAAAAUCCAACUUGCAAUCAGACACAUUUUAGACC
rnacentral:tRNA from 1 species